rnacentral:rRNA from 1 species
AACUUCGAGCGGUGGAUCACACGGCUCGU